rnacentral:rRNA from 1 species
GUAAAACAGCAACUCAACUUUGUUCAUAUUGCGAGUGUUGUGGGUGACCCUGGGGGAAACCCUCGUCGACCACAACUGGCGACACGGGGGAAACCCUCGUCGCCGCCGGCAGCCGUCCUCCGCCAGCGCCCCCUCCCAUCGCCGCCGCCGGAGGGCCGGCCGGCGAAGCCGCGCCGCGCCCGGGGAUGGCGGCGACGGGGCGGUUUUGUCCUUCCCCUCGUGCUGGACCCCCCUCCCCAUCCCCACGAACUUCUCCUUCACCAUCGCUCCUCCGCGUUGCUGCCGCCGGCGGGCCGGCCGGUGAGGCCGCGCCGCGACUGAGGUUGUGGGCGGCAGGGUGGCUUCGUCCCCUUCGCGCUGGAGCUCCUCUCCCCCAACCUCCCCGCCACCCCAGAUCCGAUCUGCCGAGCCGACCUCCCCUCCAACUGUUGUGUUCAUCUUGCCGGUCCGAUGCGGCGGUGCGGCCGUGCUCCGUGCUGGGUCAUGCGAGGGCUCGGGUGGAAGUGGCCGGGCUGGCCAAGGCUCAGUCUUGCCCCCUUGUAGACCACCCUUCGUCUCCGACGGCACCUCCUCCGAGCUACGACGUCGACCUCUGCGCGUGUGUGGUGAAGGUUCUUUUUGGCAGUGGGUUGAAGCUUCGCGGCGGAUCCUUGCCAGCAUCGCUCUGGUCCCGACGGCCACGGACCAGCGUUCUCCAGCAUCCAUGGCCUGUCGGCGUCCCCUACUGGUGCGAUCUUGGCCCCGGCGCUCCGGUCGCUGUGUCCCCUUCCAGCGUCUUCGGUUCCCUGGUGUUCUAGCGGCUACGCCUCCGGCAGCUCGGAUCUGCGUUCCCUUCUGGCUUCGGCUCGCCGGCGGCGCUGGUCACCAUCCACCCUCUUCGCCGGCUUUCUACCUCGCUACCUUCCCGACCCUGUCCACCCUCACCGCAUGUUGUUUUCAAAGCUCGUGUUUUUUCGGUCGCAGGUGCAGCCCCACCCCUUCCCUUCGAGAAUGGCAGUCGACUGGUGGUUUGUCUUUCUCAUCUUCGGAUCCUGAUCUGGCGGCUAUGGGAUUGCUCGGACUCAGGCCUGGUGAAAACCAUGCUCGGCUUGCUGACGCUGGCAGCGGCGACACUCGCGAUUGCCGUUUCCCUUCGUGGAGGCGUUGCCACGGCCUUUAUUCGUGCCCCUCUUCGAGCACCGGGGGAAACCCUAGGUCCGGUUAUUCGGAUCGGAUGGCGACGGCGUCAUGAUGUCGCACCCCUUCUUGAAGGCACUAACUUGUUUGCUUGCGGCUUUCCCAGUGUUGGAUUUGAAGAUGUUUGACGUCCUGCUAUGUCGCCAUGCCUCUCUGUUUAGGAUCUGUGGGUUUAGUUGUGUUCUUUCCCCCGUUCGGGCCGAGCACCCCUUGUUUCUCUGCUUCGGGUUGCAUGGUCGUGCCUUCUUGUGUUCAUGCCAUGUGUUGUACCCCCUACUGUACUCAUUCUCUUUCUUCUAUCAAUGAAAAGAUAAGCAAG